GAUGAAUUUAUUGGAUUUUGAAAAUUACACCAGUACAAUAAUAUUCCGCCAUUAAAUUACGGUUUGCUCAAUUACGAGCAAUAUCAAAUCAAAUCAAACAGUCCCUUGCUCCACCAUAAUGUAUGAAAACGAGCCAUUAUCUGUUGACGAAGAAUGCCACGCUGUGCCAAUUUCUACCAGUUCAUCAAGAGUGGCAGAUCUUCAGAAGCAGCGACGGACGUUAGAAUAUCUGUUAAAAAUGAGCCAACACAAGCGAUCUGAAAAGGUUUUACCCGAUGAGUUACUUGUUUCUGAAACAAUUCGUGCAUCGGUAUCAAAUU
rnacentral:misc_RNA from 1 species